AGCAGCUGCGGUAAUUCCAGCUCCAAUAGCGUAUAUUAAAGUUGUUGCAGUUAAAAAGCUCGUAGUUGAAUUUCGGGGUUAGUAGGUUGGUCAUGCCUCUGGUAUGUACUGGUCUCACUGAUUCCUCCUUCCUGAUGAGCCGUAAUGCCAUUAAUUUGGUGUUGCGGGGAAUCUGGACUGUUACUUUGAAAAAUUAGAGUGUUUAAGGCAAACUAACGCUUGAAUACAUUAGCAUGGAAUAAUGAAAUAGGACGUUCGAUCCUAUUUUGUUGGUUUCUAGGAUUGACGUAAUGAUUAAUAGGGAUAGUUGGGGGCAUUAGUAUUCAAUUGUCAGAGGUGAAAUUCUUGGAUUUAUUGAAGACUAACUACUGCGAAAGCAUUUGCCAAGGAUGUUUUCAUUAAUCAAGAACGAAAGUUAGGGGAUCGAAGACGAUCAGAUACCGUCGUAGUCUUAACCAUAAACUAUGCCGACUAGGGAUCGGAUGAUGUUAAUUUUUAAUGACUCAUUCGGACCG
rnacentral:misc_RNA from 1 species